rnacentral:rRNA from 1 species
CCCUUAGAUGUCCGGGGCCGCACGCGCGCUACACUGAAGGAAUCAGCGUGGCUUUCUCCCUGACCCGAAAGCGUUGGGAAACCCGUUGAAUCUCCUUCGUGAUAGGGAUUGGGGCUUGAAAUUGUUCCCCAUGAACGAGGAAUUCCCAGUAAGCGCGAGUCAUAAGCUCGCGUUGAUUACGUCCCUGCCCUUUGUACACACCGCCCGUCGCUACUACCGAUUGAACGGUUUAGUGAGGGCCUCGGAUUGGUCUCGGCCCGCUCUUUACCGGGCGGCGCCGUUGGUCGAGAAGACGCUCGAACUUGAUCGUUUAGAGGAAGUAAAAGUCGUAACA